GAAUCUAUCAGUGUAUUCAUCUACACUCAUCUCCUCCGUCUGCCUUAGCUGUUCAAACUCAAUCAUCUUCAGUUCCCUAGAGUUAUCAGGGAAAGCCCAUCCUGCAAAUUCAUUUGCAAAUUCCUCCCAGGAUAGACUAUCCACCCUCGGGUCCACAUAGCUCUUGAACCAAUCCUUGGCCUUCUUGCAUUUGAGUGUGAAUCCCGCCAUUUGAAUGGCCCUACUAUCACUUGUUCCCAACUCGUCGGUUAUCAUUUUUACCGUUUUGAGGUACUCAAACGGAUCAUCCCCCG
rnacentral:lncRNA from 1 species